GGGAACCCUGACGGAGCGCUGCCGCGUGAGCGAAGAGGUCUUCGGAUUGUAAAGCUCUGUGAUUAGGGAAGAAGGCUAUUAGGAGGGAAGGCCUGCUACCUGACGGUACCUUAUUAGAAAGCCCCGGCUAAAUACGUGCCAGCAGCCGCGGUAAUUA
rnacentral:rRNA from 1 species